UUAUGCCAGCGUGUUUCCAUUUGCUUGGGAAAUGCCCUAACCUUAGGCUAGAGUUGUAGAUUAGCAGCGACUUCGUUACCACUAGUGCAUCAAUUUCUAGCUUUAGUUCAUUGAGCGUGAUUGGCCUAAUAGUCUGCUGUAGCUCCUGGUCUGUUUGUUGCUGCUGGAGUUUCUGCUGCUUCAGUUGUCUCCAUUCCUGACGAAUUUCUGCACGCUCCUCAGACGAAUUAGAGAAAUUUGGACUGAAUCUUUCUUCAAGGUGGGCGACGAAAGCCUCCGCUUUUUCGGCAGUAGUUUUCGUCCAUAUUACGUUUGGAUUUGUCGCACGCCUCGCGCCCCCAUUGCCAACAUUAGCCUGUAUUGUUUUUAUUGGCCAAUUGGGCUGCGGCUGUUUUUUAAGCUUGUUGCUGGAUUAGUGCCUUCUUCAACUUAUUUUGUGCAGACCUAUAUUGUUGCCUUGCCUCUGGAGUUCGUGUCGCCAUUAAAAUCUGCUUGCAUCUCUGUUUCUCCGAUAAUAGUCUUCUGGUUGGCUCGUCCAGUUCAAGAUCGUGCCUGCGGUGGGCCCGGUGGCUAAGCUGGUUUCCUAUCUGCCUGUGUGCUGCUGCAUCUGCCGCUAUUUGAACGUUGCGUACGAAGAUGUUCACUGCAUCGUCGAUGUCCAGGCCACUGCGGAUCUCGGUGUUUAAGUGGAUUUGCUGGUCAAGAAGCUCCUGAAAACGAUGCGUAUUGGCUCCAUUAGGGGCAGGUGGUCCGAGUCCAGGUCCGUAGAGGAGUGGAUUCGAAGUCGAUUGCUAUCUAGCCCACCGUAGACUGCGAGGUCAAUUGCUGAUGGUCUUUUCCUCCUAUCGUACGGGUAGUGCGUUGCUCCGCCGGUGGCCAGAACAUUAUAUCGACUUUGCGUGUGAAUUGCUUCGAAGAGCGCUUUGCCUCUGUGACAGGCGCGCGGGUUUCCCCACCAUGAGUGCUGGGCAUUCCAGUCACCGCAGAGGAGAAAGUUAGAUGAAGCCAGUUCUGUGAUUUUGUCAAAAUGUCUGAACAGUUUUGUGAAGUGUUCGACUGACCAUUUGAACACUGGGGGGCAGUAUAUUGGCGCAAUUAUAAUUAUUUCCCUUUUAUUCUCAUUUUCAGGAAGUAAGGCAACAGGCAUAAUCUGGAGGAAGUUCUCGGACAUUGGAUGAAGGGCGGCAUGUCUAAUGUCGUUUCGUACAAAGAUAGCGACUCCACCUCUCCGAUACGUGUGUGGAUUGGUUGUACUGUAUGUGUGGUAGCCGUCCAUGCUUAGUAUGCUGGCGUCAGAUGGAACCCGAGUUUCGAUGACCAUCAUAAUUUGGAUGGACUCGCGUCGCAUGUACAGCUCUAGCUCUGUCAUUUUGUUGCCUAUACCACAUGCAUUCCAGAAAGCAAUUUUAAGUGGGUUGCUAUUCUGGCCGCUCCUGUGGAUGGUCACAUGUGGAUUUGCUGUACUAAUUGGCGCACUGUUGUGGACAUUUUCAGCUGAGGAAGUAGUGGCUAUGGUCAAUUGAGAGUCGGUACUGCUGUGAGUACGACUAUACAUAUUUAGUGACGUCAUUGGCGAUGGCAGCUUCCCUAGAGCAGUCCAUUUGGGCUGCUUUGCUGUCUGUUUGUUGAUGGGCUAUGUUUGGGAACACAUGAUUAUUGGUGUUUGUUGUAUUGUUUUCAUUAUGGAUGGUAAUGAAUUGCACAAGGACAUUUAAUAGAGUGUCUAUUCUUUUUUCCAUGCGACUAAACAUUGCCAUGUUUUGUUCUAAUGUCUGGAGUAUAGUGCUUUUGGACAUUGAUG